rnacentral:lncRNA from 1 species
GGAUGAUUCAGCUUGUUGCUGUUACUUGCAUCUCUUUAGAUGAAGGACCUUCACCCAUUGAUAGCCGACAUCUAAACAGACCUCAAACCUGCAGGUUUUAGUUUCCAAACAAGCCAAAUAAAUUGUACAUCGGUUCAAUAAUAAUAUUAAACCAGAUCAUGUAACAAUGGUAGUAGUUUUAAUAGCUUGUAUUCAUUCCGGUCUUGUAGCACAAGGACAAUUGCUAUUUAGACAAAUGAUAGAAGUCUACGCAAAUAAAUUCAAGGAUUAAGCACUAUUCCUAUAUGGACCAUCUCUUUGGAAGAGCUGGUCUUAUUGACAAAGCAAAGGAGUUUGGAAGUACAGGAUUAUAUAUGUACGGCUACCGUCAUACUAAGACCCACCGAAGUCAUUUCAAAACGGUUAAAUUCUUGAACUGACUAUUGUGCUUCAGCCUCAUCGAGAUACAAGCCAAGCACCUGCUAUUAAAAUCAACCAGCGGCCAAUGCAAUUUCGUGCAGAAUUCCAAACUUGACAAACCUGCAGCGGAAAGAAAUGAAGGUUAAGCAUGUCAAUCUAACAAAGCAAUCUUAUGCAGGUAAGAAUACAGAAUCAAUAGAGGAAGGAGCAGUUGAUAUUAUGCAGGUAACACUUGUUACAGCUAGAGAGAAAGAGCUGCAUUUGCAGGUGAUUCAACUCCAACAGAGCAUUGGAAGCCUUGUCGAUGAAUUGCGGAGACAAAAGAUGAAAAAUGUUCGGUUAGAGAGACAGUUGAGCAGUAUGAACAACAAAAUUGAAAAGUGAAGAACAAGAUGAUGAGCUUUAUCAUGGUUUGAUUAAUCUUUUGGGAUAGGGGCAUAUCUUAUUACCAUGUAUGAACUUGUGGUUGCGGCAGACAACAGUUUUUGAGAUGCUAUUCCUUGAGUCAACCUGCCAAUUCAA